UACGGAGGGUGCAAGCGUUAUCCGGAUUCACUGGGUUUAAAGGGUGCGUAGGAGGGUAGGUAAGUCAGUGGUGAAAUCUCCGGGCUCAACUCGGAAACUGCCGUUGAUACUAUCUGUCUUGAAUACCGUGGAGGUGAGCGGAAUAUGUCAUGUAGCGGUGAAAUGCUUAGAUAUGACAUAGAACACCGAUUGCGAAGGCAGCUCACUACACGAAUAUUGACUCUGAGGCACGAAAGCGUGGGGAUCAAACAGG
rnacentral:rRNA from 1 species